rnacentral:rRNA from 1 species
GAUGAACGCUGGCGGCGUGCCUAAUACAUGCAAGUCGAGCGAACAGACGAGGAGCUUGCUCCUCUGACGUUAGCGGCGGACGGGUGAGUAACACGUGGAUAACCUACCUAUAAGACUGGGAUAACUUCGGGAAACCGGAGCUAAUACCGGAUAAUAUAUUGAACCGCAUGGUUCAAUAGUGAAAGACGGUUUUGCUGUCACUUAUAGAUGGAUCCGCGCCGCAUUAGCUAGUUGGUAAGGUAACGGCUUACCAAGGCAACGAUGCGUAGCCGACCUGAGAGGGUGAACGGCCAAACUGGAACUGAGAAACGGUCCAGACCCCUAAGGGAGGGAGCAGUAGGGAAUCUUCCGGAAUGGGCGAAAGCCUGACGGAGCAACGCCGCGUGAGUGAUGAAGGUCUUCGGAUCGUAAAACUCUGUUAUUAGGGAAGAACAAAUGUGUAAGUAACUAUGCACGUCUUGACGGUACCUAAUCAGAAAGCCACGGCUAACUACGUG